GAGUUUGAUCCUGGCUCAGAUUGAACGCUGGCGGCAGGCCUAACACAUGCAAGUCGAGCGGAAACGAGUUAACUGAACCUUCGGGGAACGUUAACGGCGUCGAGCGGCGGACGGGUGAGUAAUGCCUGGGAAAUUGCCCUGAUGUGGGGGAUAACCAUUGGAAACGAUGGCUAAUACCGCAUAAUAGCUUCGGCUCAAAGAGGGGGACCUUCGGGCCUCUCGCGUCAGGAUAUGCCCAGGUGGGAUUAGCUAGUUGGUGAGGUAAUGGCUCACCAAGGCGACGAUCCCUAGCUGGUCUGAGAGGAUGAUCAGCCACACUGGAACUGAGACACGGUCCAGACUCCUACGGGAGGCAGCAGUGGGGAAUAUUGCACAAUGGGCGCAAGCCUGAUGCAGCCAUGCCGCGUGUAUGAAGAAGGCCUUCGGGUUGUAAAGUACUUUUUUUUUGAGGAAGGUGGGUAUGUUAAUAGCAUACUCAUUUGACGUUAGCUGCAGAAGAAGCACCGGCUAACUCCGUGCCAGCAGCCGCGGUAAUACGGAGGGUGCUAGUUUUUAAUCGGAAUUACUGGGCGUAAAGCGCAUGCAGGUGGUUNGUUAAGUCAGAUGUGAAAGCCCGGGGCUCAACCUCGGAAUUUGCAUUUGAAACUGGCAAACUAGAGUACUGUAGAGGGGGGGNAGAAUUUCAGGUGUAGCGGUGAAAUGCGUAUAGAAUCUGAAGGAAUACCGGUGGCGAANGCGGCCCCCNUGGAAC
rnacentral:rRNA from 1 species